UACGGAGGGGGCUAGCGUUGUUCGGAAUUACUGAGCGUAAAGCGCGCGUAGGCGGACCUGCAAGUCGGGGGUGAAAGCCCGAGGCUCAACCUCGGAACUGCCUUCGAUACUGCGGGUCUCGAGUCCGGGAGAGGUGAGUGGAAUUCCUAGUGUAGAGGUGAAAUUCGUAGAUAUUAGGAAGAACACCAGUGGCGAAGGCGGCUCACUGGCCCGGUACUGACGCUGAGGCGCGAAAGCGUGGGGAGCGAACAGG
rnacentral:rRNA from 1 species